UACGUAGGGUGCGAGCGUUGUCCGGAAUUAUUGGGCGUAAAGAGCUUGUAGGCGGUCUGUCGCGUCUGCUGUGAAAAUCCGGGGCUCAACCCCGGACUUGCAGUGGGUACGGGCAGACUAGAGUGUGGUAGGGGAGACUGGAAUUCCUGGUGUAGCGGUGAAAUGCGCAGAUAUCAGGAGGAACACCGAGUGGCGAAGGCAGGUCU
rnacentral:rRNA from 1 species